UCCUAGCCCUGAUGGGAGCGGCAUCCUUUUGUGGCGGGGUUCGCCGCAAAAGAUAUAGCGGACAGCAGGAAAUAGC
rnacentral:sRNA from 1 species